GAAAUGCGAUAAGUAAUGUGAAUUGCAGAAUUCAGCGAAUCAUCGAAUCUUUGAACGCAUAUUGCGCCCCUUGGUAUUCCGAGGGGCGUGCCUGUUCGAGCGUCAUUUCACCCCUCAAGCUCCGCUUGGUGUUGGGCCAGCAGUCCCGGUAGAGGGACUCGCCUCGAAGGCGUCGGCGGCGUCGCCCCGUCCCAAGCGUGGUGGAAGCACAAGCUCGCUUUGGAGGUCGGGUCGUCGCCCGCCACGGUGCAUCCGUCUUUUAUUUAAAGGUUGACCUCGGAUCAGGCAGGAGUACCCGCUGAACUUAA
rnacentral:misc_RNA from 1 species